UGGGAGGUCUCACCCAGUCAAGUGUCAUGAGUUCAGAGACCCACUUGAAGAAUCAGUCUGGCUGCCCGUUGAAGGGGCGGGUAUGCUGCACUGAGGGUAAGUCCACUGAUUUGAACUGCCUGGGGUCCUCAGAGCCAGCUGAACUGGAAACCACAGCUGCCCCUUCCCUCAAGGGGCUCAGUCCCAGAAAGAUCAGAGUUCUGUCCAUGAACCCAUGGCUGGAGUUACUGAAAUUCCCACAGGAAGGCCCCACCCAGUGAGAAGGAAUGGAUACAGGUCCCACAUAAACAGGUGGUCUGGCCAGAAUCUGCCAUAGCCGCUGUGCUGCGCUGUGGAGAAUUCCUUCUGGUCCAAAUCACCCAGUCUCCCCAGAACUGGCAGGGCAAGUCAGCCAACUGGAGUCACAGUGAUGGCAGCUGCUCCUCCCCCUGGGAUAUUGGUUAUGUUAGGCAGUCUCCAGAAUCCUGACCCUGGCUGCAACCCAUGAGACCACCAAAAGUCUGCACAGUUCUAUGCUUGGGACCUGAAGCCCUGGUGGCAUGGUACCACAAGGGGAUCUCCUGAUCUGUGGGUUGCACACAUCCAUGGCAAAAGCAUGGUUUCCCUGGAGGGGUAGCACAAUCAGUCACUGCCUCCCUUGGCAGGGGGUGGGUGUUCCCCUUAUCCCAUGCAGCUUCUGGGUGGGCUGUCACUCCACCUUGUUUUUCUUCACUCUCCAUGGGUGGUGCCAACCACCUAGUCAGUCUCAGCAAGAGAACCUGGAUACCUCAGCUGAAGGUGCAGUAUUCCCUUGCUAUUUUUGUUCUUCUCAACUGGAGCUGCUUCUAAUCAGUGAUCUUGAACCCUCACCACUUACUGGGAUAUUUCAAAGCAAAAUUUAGGGUAUAUUCCUAAUCUAUCUUAUCC
rnacentral:lncRNA from 1 species